rnacentral:lncRNA from 1 species
CAACUCGUGCUUUAUUUAAAACCUUCAAAACACAAUGCUAUAUCUUCAUCAUUAUGAUUUUUGGCCGGACAAAUAGCGAAAAACCGUUAAAAUGCUAUUUGUCCGACUUGCCGGAUGAAUAGACAUUUUUGACUAUUUGUCCGGCUAGCCGGACGAAUAGCCACUGCCUUAAAAGAAGGGGGACAAUAUACCUCUAAGUAGUAAAACUUUAAGAUUAAUAUUCUUUAAAUUGUAUAGCUUUCUUAUUCUGGCUUUCUCCUCAAUUUUUAAAUUAUAUUAAGAAUCACGUUUUUACGCCAG